GAUAAACGCUGGCGGCGUGCAUAACACAUGCAAGUCGAACGAUGAAGAUUAAAAGAUUUCUUCGGAAUGAACUUAAUUGGAUUAGUGGCGGACGGGUGAGUAACGCGUGAGUAACUUGCCUUGUACAAGGGGAUAGCCGUUGGAAACGACGAAUAAUACCCUAUGACAUCAAAUAAUCGCAUGAUAAUUUGAUCAAAGAUUUAUCGGUAUAAGAUGGACUCGCGUCUGAUUAGCUAGUUGGUAGAGUAAAAGCCUACCAAGGCAACGAUCAGUAGCCGGCUUGAGAGAGUGUACGGCCACAUUGGGACUGAGACACGGCCCAGACUCCUACGGGAGGCAGCAGUGGGGAAUUUUGCACAAUGGGGGAAACCCUGAUGCAGCGACGCCGCGUGAUUUAGAAGGCCUUCGGGUUGUAAAAAUCUUUUGUAUGGGAAGAAAAUGACAGUACCAUACGAAUAAGGACCGGCUAAUUACGUG
rnacentral:rRNA from 1 species